rnacentral:tmRNA from 1 species
GGGGAUGCUUAAAAUCGAUAGGAAUCACUAUUUGAAUCAUUCAGGUCGAGCAUUGGCCGGCUGGCUCGUUAAUCCUAACUGACCGACAAAUAUAAGUGCCAAAUCACUUAUGGCUAGAGUUCAGUCAGCUUUCCGCUCACUGGCUUUAGCUCCCGCCUUGGCUUAAAAUCCCGAGGCCAUCAGCCCGGCGAUGCCUAAUAGCCGGUCACUGGUGUCAAACAUUAGGCUAGGUUAAUUAGUCGUCUAGCUAUUUAACCAAAACCAAAUAGACUUUGACGGCCGGAGUUUUGUUAGUUUUACAUCCGGCAGUCGAGACAAAAAACUGGCUACGCCUGUAAAAUUGGUUUGAAUUCAUUUCUAGACAGGGGUGCAAUGCCCCUCAUCUCCACCA